AAAUACCAUGGACUAAAUGGCUGUAUUAUGGAUGUUUCCAGCUGCAUAUGGGAGGGGAUGGGGAGCAUAUAUAGAUGUUUUCCUUGGGUGUGAUUGGUGCUUUUAAGGAGAGGAAGUGGCACACAGGAGCAGCCUCAGCCAGACCUUAAUUCUAGAAGAAUAAAGGCUGCUUAGUCCUUCAGACAAGGCUCACUACAGGCAAAAUAUGGGAUGUCUGAAAUAUUUGACAAGAGAUGAAGUAUUCAUCAGGGAGAGAAAUAUAAUGUUUCAGUGACACACAAGGAAGACAUUGCCAGGGUCUGGCAAAGGUGUAAUGGCGCUUAUCCCAGCAGAGAUCUCAGCUGACAGUUUUAACAUUGGAUACAGACAAAGAACAAGCAGAAGAAGAAACAAAAAGGCUCCAUGAGUGCUAGAGGAACAAAGGUAGACUGGCUUCUGGAGAGUAGAAACCCCUCAGAGCUCCCUACACAAGAUGUCUGCCGAAUGCAAAGCUGACUCUAUCUGAUGGGAGCAACUUUGCUGCAAGGAAUAGGAUUCCUGAUUGAACGUGACAAUAAUACGAAUUUGUUAUAUGAACACACAAGAAUCUCAAGGUUGGGGGAAUUCAAGAGAUACUUCAACAGGAUGAAAAUGAACCUCCAUUACAGCUGAUCUUCUGAUCUGCACACGUCUGUGGGUUGGUGACUUCUCUCCCUCAUCACAACAGCUAAUGUGCCUCAUCCUCAUAAUACUACCACUUCAUGUCAAAAAAGGGAGAAAGUGACGACAGAUGUUGAAAGCUGAGAGCUUUGGGAAUUGCCCUGUCCUCACCUCCAUCGGGGACCAAAUGUCUUCUAACUGUGAGCCAAACAAAAUGAAAAUCUCUUCCACUAAGCAACUUUGUGACGAUCAUCUGCUUACAAUGCGAAGAAAAGUAGCUAACAUAGCAUCCAAUACAUUUGAAGUAAAG